rnacentral:antisense_RNA from 1 species
AUCCUUGUAGGACUCUGGAGAAGAUCAAAUGGGAGCUUGGAUGUGGAAGCUCUUUGGAAACCAAGAAACACUCUGCAAAUGAAAAGGCAUAAGAAUGUUUAUCACAGCAUGGCAUAUAUUGGAAGUUUAGUAAAUGAAGAUACAUCCAAUCUGACAUUCCAUUCACAACCACAAAGAGAUAAUGUAGAAACAUAUUUAGUAAUGUGAGAAAAUACUAAAUAUUAAGUGGAAAAAGGUGGAAGAGUAAACUGUUCCCGUUUCUCCAAAUUGACAGGAAGCAGAAGUUCUCCUUAGCUGAUUUUUCUUCUUGCCUUAUACUGGGUUCUUUAACACCAGAACAAAAAUAAAUAAAUAAAAGAAUCUUCCAGAAAUUCAUGAAGAGACUUCAGGUCAGGAAAGCCUGAACUUUCUCAUCUAACACCUGUUCAAGUCGGAGGAUGCUGAUUAAUUCAUGAUGGAAAGGUAUCAAUUUCACAGCCCAGACUUCUACAUUCUUGAAAUGCUGUUCUCAUGGGAGACAUUAAAUAAGCUUUGAAAUAACUGAGACGUCUGUGGAUUCUAUAACUCAAAGACCCAGGCUGAUGGCUGGUGGAAUAGCUACCAUCUCAAACAUGGCGUGAUGCUGCAUCAGAGGGAAAAAUAAGCUCUUGCACUGGCAAUGAAAUGUCUACCCUGUAGUGACUUGUGCUUACUUCCACUCACAAAUGAUUGCCCAGAGCUACUUACCUGGCUCCAAUCUACCACUGGGUGUGUACGUGCAAUCUACUGUGUACCUAGAAGAUGAGAGGAACAAAUUAUUAAUGAUGACCACACCCCAAGACUAACAAUAAUUGCAGAAGAAUCAAUGACUUAAACAAAAAUAUGGCCAUUGAAGGAAUAGAAAAUAUAGUGAGUUUAGUGUAAAUUUAGAAGUGAUUUAUAAGUAGCAUACAAAAUCCAGAAACUAUAAGAAAACA